AUUCCUUCUUCGCUGUCAUCGUAACCGACGUCAUCCAGAUUUUCUUCUUCGGCUCUGGUGAUCUCGAUGAUGGCCAGGAGAGCUAACUGAGCACGUAAAGAAGAGAAGUCUUUAUUUUGAUGACUGGAAACAUUCACGGAUUGACUCGGAUUGGAUUCUGGAUUCUAUUCGAUCGGUGUGACCAUCAGCGUCCAACAUCAGCUGUGUCAGAUAAUAAUUUGAAUAGACGAGAGACCGCUAUGAGGUUCAGAUGAGGGUGAAAGCAAUCCGGCUUGCCCCCAAGCAAAUUGGACGUCGUAUUCCUCUGUCAGACAUAACCGAAGGUCAAUGGAAAGUCGCAGUGGGCCAAGGACAAGUCAAGAUACACUUGGGCGCAGAGAUUUGACCCAGUUCCGAUGACUGGCUCCCAACAUCCAGCUGGACCAGGCCAACGUAUACGUCACGGACGGAGUCCCGAUUCGUUCGAAUAAUCUUCGAGGCGAAAGUCUUUCACUCUGACCUAGUGCGUUGUCGUCCAAAGUGGUUGGCUUGCAGUGCGAACUGGAUACGCACCACGCAGCCCUCCUGAGUGUCCUGCUACUCGUUCCUCUUCACUUUUCCACGCUGUAUAAAUAAUGGCCAGCGCAGAGUGAAUAAUAUAAUGUAAUACCGCCGGCGGGGCUGCAAAGGCGAGUGAGGUAUGUGCAAACUCAGGUUUGUACGUGUGGAAUGUCCCGCGAUGCAACAAGCAGUUUAAUGCAAAACAUGCAAAGUCUACGAGAACUUCUAAGAAAACCUCCCCAUUGAAUCAGAAACCGUUGAUACAUGGUAGCAGCUCCUCUAUCCUUUAACCCGCAGGACUUUUCACGUCUCACGAAGUCAGCAGCCAAAUGAACUCGCCGAAUGCAAUUGGAGCCAACCUCCUGACCUUGAGAAGAGAGUGUUUACAUGUCUGCCCUUUCUCGAAUUGGACUUACUAACCACACAAACAUUAUUUAGUUAUGAAGUGAAUGAUUAUUGACGGAUGAAUGAUUCGUCACGUUUUCAUAUUAGGUAUUCAUAAAAAUGAUUAAGACGAUGUAAUAAAGUUGGAAUGAGUAAAUAUUUUGUAAAUGACCUUGUCAUAAUUGAGAUAUGAGGAUGCAUGUUUCCAUUAAGACCAUGUUAUAUAUUAAAUUAUGAUGUAUUCUACGAUACCAUUGAGCAAAUAAAGAAACGCGCCCCCGAAAUGAUUGUAAGAUUAUUAUCAAUCAAACCUCUGCAACCAUCCAUCUAUGAA